rnacentral:rRNA from 1 species
AUUGAACGCUGGCGGCAGGCCUAACACAUGCAAGUCGAGCGGAGCGGCGGACGGGUGAGUAAUGCCUAGGAAUCUGCCUGGUAGAGGGGGAUAACGUCCGGAAACGGGCGCUAAUACCGCAUACUAUCAGAUGAGCCUAGAUGGGAUUAGCUAGUUGGUGGGGUAAAGGCCUACCAAGGCGACGAUCCGUAACUGGUCUGAGAGGAUGAUCAGUCACACUGGAACUGAGACACGGUCCAGACUCCUACGGGAGGCAGCAGUGGGGAAUAUUGGACAAUGGGCGAAAGCCUGAUACAGCCAUGCCGCGUGUGUGAAGAAGGUCUUCGGAUUGUAAAGUACUUUAAGUUGGGAGGCGUUACCAACAGAAUAAGCACCGGCUAACUCCGUGCCAGCAGCCGCGGUAAUAC